rnacentral:rRNA from 1 species
CAACAUGUUAAAGCUACAGACCCCAUUGAUGUGUUAAACAUCAAACUGAAACGCUUCAAAAAGUUCUUCAAAGGCUGGGGUUCUAAUAAGUUUGGGCAUGAGAAGAUUCGAAAGAGAAACAUCAGAGAUGAGUUGGCAAAAAUUGAGAAAGAAGAAGAGGGGGGUAUGUUAGAUCCAGCUAUGUUCUGCAGGAAAACUGAACUGUUAGUGGAACUAAAUGAAAUAUUGGUAAAUGAAGAACUUUUCUUACUACAACAAUCUAAAGAGAAAUGGCUACUUAAAGAGGAUAGUAAAUCUGCCUACUAUCAGAAAAUAGCUAAUGGCAAUAAAAGGAAAAAUACUAUUCACUCCCUAAAUGUAGGGGAUACAGUCAUAGAGGGGACGAAGGAUCUUUUAAAUCAUGCUACUGAAUUUUAUAGAGAUCUUUUCGGGCCGGCACCUGGAAAUUUGCUCCAGGUGGAUCCUAAUAUAUGGGGGCUGGAGGAGAAGUUA